rnacentral:ncRNA from 2 species
GGGUUUAGACCGUCGUGAGA